CCUACGGGUGGCAGCAGUGAGGAAUAUUGGUCAAUGGGCGAGAGCCUGAACCAGCCAAGCCGCGUGAGGGAGUACUGCCCUAUGGGUUGUAAACCUCUUUUGUCGGGGAGCAAAAGCCGGACGUGUCCGGCUGUGAGAGUACCCGAAGAAAAAGCAUCGGGCAACUCCGGGCCAGCAGCCGCGGUAAGACGGGGGAUGCGAGCGUUAUCCGGAUUUAUUGGGUUUAAAGGGUGCGGAGGCGGGUUUUUAAGUUAGCGGUAAAAUCGUGGGGCUCAACCCCGUCCAGCCGUUGAAACUGGGGAUCUAGAGUGGGCGAGAGGUAUGCGGAAUGCGUGGUGUAGCGGUGAAAUGCAUAGAUAUCACGCAGAACCCCGAUUGCGAAGGCAGCAUACCGGUGCACAACUGACGCUCAGGCACGAAAGCGUGGGUAUCGAACAGGAUUAGAUACCCGAGUAGUC
rnacentral:rRNA from 1 species